rnacentral:rRNA from 1 species
AUUGAACGCUGGCGGCAGGCUUAACACAUGCAAGUCGAGCGGAGAUGAGGUGCUUGCACCUUAUCUUAGCGGCGGACGGGUGAGUAAUGCUUAGGAAUCUGCCUAUUAGUGGGGGACAACAUUCCGAAAGGAAUGCUAAUACCGCAUACGUCCUACGAGAGAAAGCAGGGGAUCUUCGGACCUUGCGCUAAUAGAUGAGCCUAAGUCGGAUUAGCUAGUUGGUGGGGUAAAGGCCUACCAAGGCGACGAUCUGGAGCGGGUCUGAGAGGAUGAUCCGCCACACUGGGACUGAGACACGGCCCAGACUCCUACGGGAGGCAGCAGUGGGGAAUAUUGGACAAUGGGGGGAACCCUGAUCCAGCCAUGCCGCGUGUGUGAAGAAGGCCUUAUGGUUGUAAAGCACUUUAAGCGAGGAGGAGGCUACUGAGACUAAUACUCUUGGAUAGUGGACGUUACUCGCAGAAUAAGCACCGGCUAACUCUGUGCCAGCCGCCGCGGUAACAC